UUCCUAUUAUAACCGAGUCUAAGACAUGUCGUGUUUAUAACAUUAGCCUGGUUAUUGAUGGUGCUUACGAUCUUGUUCCUAUUAUAACCCAGUCUGAGACAUGUCGUGUUUAUAACAUUAGCUGGUUAUUUUAGGUGCUUACGAUCUUGUUCCUAUUAUUACCCAGUCUAAGACAUGUCGUGUUUAUAACAUUAGCUGGUUAUUUUAGGUGCUUACGAUCUUGUUCCUAUUAUAACCGAGUCUAAGACAUGUCGUGUUUAUAACAUUAGUCUGGUUAUUUUAGGUGCUUACGAUCUUGUUCCUAUUAUUACCCAGUCUAAGACAUGUCGUGUUUAUAACAUUAGCUGGUUAUUGAUGGUACUUACCAUCUUGUUCCCAUUAUAACCAAGGCUAAUACAUGUCGUGUUUAUAACAUUAGCCUGGUUAUUGAUGGUGCUUACCAUCUUGUUCCUAUUAUAACUGAGUCUAAUACAUGUCGUGUUUAUAACAUUAGCUGGUUAAUGAUGGUGCUUACCAUCUUGUUCCUAUUAUAACCCAGUCUAAGACAUGUCGUGUUUAUAACAUUAGCCUGGUUAUUGAUGGUGCUUACCAUCUUGUUCCUAUUAUAACCAAGUCUUAAGACAUAUCGUAUUUAUAACAUUAGCCUGGUUAUUGAUGGUGCUUACCAUCUUGAUCAUAUUAUAACCAAGUCUAAGACAUGUCAUGUUUAUAACAUUAGCUGGUUAUUGAUGGUACUUACCAUCUUGUUCCUAUUAUAACCCAGUCUAAGACAUGUCGUGUUUAUAACAUUAGCUUGGUUAUAUGAUGGUGCUUACCAUCUUGUUCCUAAUAUAACCCGGUCGAAGACAUGUCGUGUUUAUAAAAUUAGCUGGUUAUUGAUGGUGCUUACCAUCUUGUUCCUAUUAUAACCGAGUCUGAGACAUAUCGUAUUUAUAACAUUAGCCUGGUUAUUGAUGGUGCUUACCAUCUUGAUCAUAUUAUAACCAAGUCUAAGACAUGUCGUGUUUAUAACAUUAGCUGGUUAUUGAUGGUGCUUACCAUCUUGUUCCUAUUAUAACCCAGUCUAAGCCAUGUCGUGUUUAUAACAUUAGCUGGGUAUUGAUGGGGCUUACCAUCUUGUUCCUAUUAUAAGCCAGUCUAAGACAUGUCGUGUUUAUAACAUUAGCUGGUUAUUUUAAACAGUUCCACUGCUUUUCUUAGGUUGCAUUUCAUAGUUGAACACCUGAUUGAUAACUUUCAACAUACUUAUCGAUAAAGCGUUUAGAAUCAUAUUGUAUGGAGUAAAAACGUAAAAACCUGUUGGUACAGUCUUAUUAUAUACCUAUCAAAGUAAAGCAUUUUGUAUCCAAGAAAAUCAAAUUUUUGCUUUGUUUGAGAUGUUGCCAUGUAUCUGUAUUACAUGGUGUUUGGAGAAGGCAUUGUAAUGAGUUGACUUAAUGUGUGCCUACCUCUGUUGCUGCUUUUAGCUAUGAAAUAUGUUGUAAAUUAACAAAUCAUGCGUUAAUUAACAUCAACCU